UUACUGCUGAGGAGUCCCAUAAUAGGACGAAAUGGCCGUUCAGUAC
rfam:Schistosoma haematobium scaffold1242_6, whole genome shotgun sequence.